GGAUUCCGUUCUGGUUCUAAUUGUAAUGUGCCUUGAUUCGGCUAAAUAUUAGUGUAAAUGUUGCAUGUUGAAAUGUAUGAUGUUUCUUUUUUGCUCCAUUUGUUCAGAUGGCAUCUCCAAUGAAGCUUCCGUCCGUCGAGGACCCAGAAAUUGAGAGGGCACGGCAGGCCCUGCAGCUGUGUGCCUACGCAUGCAACGACCCAGGUGUUCCCCGGCACACCCUGUUCCCCCAGUUAAUGGAGGCCACAAGUGGGGUGAUGACAGUGGUGUGCCGGGAACACCGGCAAAGAAAAGCAGCUGAGAGCCAACACAAAUGGCUGCGGAGGAGGCUGGAGAGGAAAAAGAAAGAGCAGAAACACCUCUGCGUUCGAUAGAGAUGAUGCAGCAAUGCAGGCAGAAAACGAGCAGGCAGAGCCGGGAGAGGAUUGAGACCUGGAGGACA